ncrna:Tribolium castaneum (red flour beetle) microRNA tca-mir-219 precursor
UUUCAGGCCCUGAUUGUCCAAACGCAAUUCUUGUUUGCAAUUUUAUCAAGGACUGUGUGUGGACAUCAUCGCUUGAGA